rnacentral:lncRNA from 1 species
CCUUCCUUGUACCUUUUUCUUUUCUUUCUCUAUUUUCAACUGAGCACUAGAAUAGCGUGCGUGCGUGCGUGCGUGCGUGCGAGUGAGGUGGGGGGGUGUGAGUAUUUUGCCUAUGUGCUGUUUUGUUUUGUUUUCCGAGACAGGGUUUCUCUGUGUAGCCCUGGCUGGCCUGGAACUCAGAAAUGCUCCUGCCUCUGCCUCCCGAGUGCUGGGUGGGAUCAAAGUCGUGGCCAACACUGCCCAGCUCCUGCACUGCAUACACCUAGUGUCCUCUCAGAUUAGAACAAGGAAUCAAAUCUUCUGAAACUAGAGUUAUAGAUAGUGAUGAGCCAACACAUGGACUCUGGCAACAAGUCCUCUUAGCCACUGGCCAUCUCCCCAGCUCCUAAGCACUUAAAUCUUUCAGGGUUGAAUAAACCUAUUCUGCCAAAUGAUCUACUUGGCAACAUUCACUUUCAAGGUUUGUGUAUAUGUGUGGUGCAUGUGUGUGUUAUGUGGUUAUGUGUGCACAGGUGUGCCCACCUAUAUGAAUUUAUAUGCACAAGUGUCCAAGUGACUGCUGAGGCCAGUGAUAAUACUGGGAACUGAAUGAACCUUGUUCUCCUGUAAGUGCUUUUAGGAGCCAUCCAUGUCCAUCUCUCCAACUCAGUUACUCACUUUCCUUUAGAUAUGAAAUGCCUCUGUGCUCCUCACAUAUGGUCAGAUCCUCUACAAUAUAGAAAAUCCAUCUUAAAUCUCCUUUCUUUAUUCAAAGGAAAGAAAGCACAGGUAAGAAAUCCAGUGAAAAAAGAAAGCCAUCACUAGGAAUGGUGGCACACACCUAGACAUCUAGGCACUAGGAAAACAGAGGCAGCACCAAGAUCAUAAAUUUGAGGGCAGCCUGGACUAUACAGCAAGACCCUGUCUCCAAAAAACAAACAAACAAACAAUCUAACAAGAGCUAGAGCUCAAUAGUAGACGGUUUGCCUAGCACUGUAUGGCCCUAGGUUCCAUCCUGAGGGAGAAGUUAGCAAGGAAGGAAUUCAUUCUUCAUGACCUUUUUUCUUUUUUGGUAGUGCUAAAGACUGAACACGUAGGACAUAAGACAUAAUAAAGUCACUCUUGCUAGGUGUGGUAGCACAUUCCUUGUACCCCAGCACUCUGCAGGCAGAGACAAGCUGAUUGAUCUCCAUGAGUUCAAAUCAUGGUUCUCAACCAACAGGUCGAAACCCCUUUUCAUAGGAGUUGCCUAAGACCAUCAGAAAACAGAUGUUUUUACAUUGUGAUUUAUAACAGUAGCAAAAUUACAGUUCUAAAUUAGCAACAAGAAUAAUUUUUGGUUGGGAUCACAACCAAAUGAAAAACUAUAUUAAAGGGUCACAGCAUUGAGAAGGUUGAGACCACUGGUUUAAGGCCAGCCUGGUCUACAUAGAGAAUUCCAAACAAACCAGGGCCACAUGAGACCCUGUUUCAAAUAAAAAUAAAAAGGAAGUAAGUCAUCUUUGCUUUCCUUGACUGUGGCUGGUUCCCUGGCUCCAGGAAAAAGGAGGGAGCUGGCAAGAGGACAAAACCAAGAGAACAUGUGGCCCUUGCAGCUCACACAGGAACAGAGCCCAUCGAGGCUAGCCUACUCUGCUCCAACUCUUACAUGAUCACAUUUGACGGAAAUGCUUACAGCUGCAGUGAAAUUAACCUGUGCCAGUCCGGAAGACUGAGAUGGAGGAGUUGGUACCAAAGCCCCAGACAUCACACUACUCCUGGCCUUGCUCUUUCUUGUCAUCUGAUACCUCUUUGAGCUUUAUGUGGCUAUACCAUCAGCUGCCCUCCUGAAUGGUGAAGUAGCUUAGCUGUGAGGCACCUCUCCCUGACCAGUGGAAGCAGCCCAAGUAAGUGGGGUGGAGCUUUUAUCUUGGCAAAGAGAACUCUCAGCAACCAGGUAUAAUCAUGAUUCCCACCACUGUUACACUCAAGACUGGCCCAUAUCCCCAGUCUUCUCAAGUGUACUCAGAAGCAAUUUUACCUGGUUCCCUUUGUGCUAACAUGGCCAUCCCUGAGGCUAAACCCUGAUUCUAAGGCAUGGCCAAAGUUUGGAAGAGAUACCCGAUUUGGGAUCACCCCUUUUCCCAGGACUGAAAAUACUACAUGGCUCAACUUCCAUUCUACUGUUCCCUGGUCAAGUUGAAUUUUAAGAAACAGAUCAUCUAUCAGGUGGCCACCAUCAUUCUUCUUAGUUUCUCCCGGUUUGUCAACUCUGAGCAGUGACCCUUACCAUCAUGGGUUUCUCAUGACCUGCCAGAGACAGCCAAAAUGUUUUAAUUACACAGCAUGGAAAAUAUCUAGUAACAUCUUCCUCAUCUUUGCCAUUGUUUUCAUCAUCACCUGGCAGGCCUCCUUGCCCUCUGGUUCUUGCACCACACCCUGGUAUGCCCACUAGAGCUUGCUCACUCAGGCCUUUUCCAUCAGUACCACCUCAACACCAUGACGAUGAUGCUGACCUUCUGGACCUACCUCUUUUUGCACAUGGUCCACAAGUUCAUAAAAGCUAGUAGAUGACAAACAUACUAACAGAGAAGAAAUAAAAAGCUCAGAGAAGAAGGCCACAUCUUCAAUAAAAUCCUAAGAGUGGCUAGGGAGAUGGCUCAGUGAAAGAAUAUACAGCAGGUCUGGAGAAAUGGCUCCAUGUCCAAGAGCACUUACUGCUCAUGUAGAGGACCCAGUUCAGCUCCCAACACAAAUACCAGAUGCUCCUAACUGCCUACAACACCAGUUCCAGAAGAUGCCACACCCAAGGGUAUCUGCAUUCACACAGUCUCUCACAGAUACAUGCAAAUACACACCAAUUAAAAAUAGUAAGUUUUUAAAAAGAGCAUAUUGCUCUUCCAGAGAACCUGAGCUCAAUUCCCAGCACCCACAUUAGUGGCUCACCACCACCUAUACCUCCAGAUCCAGGGGAUACAACACUCUCUCUCUUCUGGCUUCAGAGGGCACAUGUGCACACACUAAAAAAUCUUUUUAAAAAUCAUCAUAAGACUGUAUAAGUGGUAGGUGGUGGUGCAUGCCUUUACCCCAGCACUCAGGAGAUGGAGGCAAGCAGACAGCUGUGAAUUCAAGGCCAAACUAGUCUACAGAGAGUUCCAGGACAGCCAGGAAUAUAGAGAAACCCUGUCUCAAAAAACAAAACAGAAUGACUGAACCACUGUCCUAGCUACCGCCCACAAUAAUCUAUAAAGUGCAAAAGCUAAUCCACUUCCCCUAUAGAGGAUACCAGGCUCUGAUGAAAAGAGAGAGAAAGGGAGAGGACAUUCGUUCCCUUCCCUUCAUCAUCCAGAUGCCCUUAAGCCGGACUCUCAGCAGAAGCGAGUCUGGUUAUAGCUUCUGCUAGCAGAGCUCUCCCACUCUCUGCGCUCCCUUUCUAUUGCUUUUGAGAACCUUCCUCACUUCUGAGACCUUAAGAGUUUGGACCUGGUUGUUUGCCUUUUAACUCCCUGACCUCUAACCAGGGUUGAUCUUAGACCUCAUUCUGUCAAAGCUAGGACAAGGUUCCACCUUUCUAAGGUUCAAAGCUAGGACAAGGUUCCCAGCUGGGUUACAAACCAAAGCCAAGCUGACUUUAACUUCUUCCUUCCUGAAGCUCAAUGAAUUAACUGAAUGUGGCAGUGUGACCUUCCCACCUCCUCUAAAGCAAGGGCACUUCCUGGAGACCGCUGGACUGCCUCUGCAGCUGCUUUCCCAGCUGCCUCUCGGGCCUCUUCUUUCCUGUCCGUUAUUCUAGCUGCUUUGGGUGAUUGGGAACUACUUCUAAUCUGUACUCACUAAAUAUUUGGAGUUUCAGUUUCCAAGACACAGUUGUAGCUAGCUAGUACCUAAGGAAACAUUUCAGAGCAAAUUUUACUGUUGACAGUUUUGGGUUUUUUGGUUUUGUUUUGAAGCUAAAAUAUAGUAAAGGCUAAAACAUGAGAAUGUGUCAAGCAAGUAAGAAUGGAGUCACACACCUUUGAGUCCAGCAUUGGGAAACAGAGACAGAGGCAGAUAGAUCUCUGCUACUUCCCGGCUAAAUAGCACAGUGGUGAAAUUCUGUCUCCAAGAGAGAAAACUAAGGAACUAAUUAUAGUAGACUUUUUUUUUAAUUGCCCCCACAUAAUCCUUUACUUGAAAAAACUGGAGAAAACAUUUAAUUUUUCAUUUUUAUUGUUCUUUUAUCCAGAAAGGCAAUUAAUAUAUAAUUAAAAUUCUAAACACACUUAGCUUCUGCAUCUGACUUAGCAGACAAUAAGUACCUUUGAGCUGCAGAUCAAAUUUAGGUUUCUAGUGAGCCAUCCGUUUUUAUUACAUACCUAUUGGGGAAGAAGUAGCCACCCUUGUUUCUCAGUAAUCUGGCCUUAGGUAAAAUGU